AUUGAACGCUGGCGGUAGGCCUAACACAUGCAAGUCGAGCGAGCGGCGGACGGGUGAGUAAUGUCUGGGAAACUGCCUGAUGGAGGGGGAUAACUACUGGAAACGGUAGCUAAUACCGCAUACCAUCAGAUGUGCCCAGAUGGGAUUAGCUAGUAGGUGGGGUAACGGCUCACCUAGGCGACGAACCCUAGCUGGUCUGAGAGGAUGACCAGCCAUACUGGAACUGAGAAAGGGUCCAGACUCCUACGGGAGGAAGCAUUGGGGAAUAUUGCACAAGGGGCGCAAGCCUGAUGCAGCGAUGCCGCGUGUGUGAAGAAGGCCUUCGGGUUGUAAAGCACUAUCAGCGGGGGGGCGUUACCCGCAGAAGAAGCACCGGCUAACUCCGUGACAGCAGCCGCGGUAAUAC
rnacentral:rRNA from 1 species